UACGAAGGGGCUAGCGUUGUCCGGAAUCACUGGGCGUAAAGGGCGCGUAGGCGGCCUGAUAAGUCGGGGGUGAAAUUCUGCGGCUUAACCGCAGGACGGCCUUCGAGACUGUCGGGCUUGAGCACGGUAGAGGCUGGUGGAAUUCCGCGUGUAGCAGUGAAAUGCGUAGAUAUGCGGAGGAACACCGAUGGCGAAGGCAAUCCCCUGGGCCUGCACUGACGCUCAUGCACGAAAGCGUGGGGAGCAAACAGG
rnacentral:rRNA from 1 species